rnacentral:misc_RNA from 1 species
CUUUUAUAUUCAACUGUUCCCUGAGUCGGUCACAAAAAAUCAACUAGAGAAAUAAUCAAGUUUUAUCGUUUUAAUCGGCGAGUUUUAUUACUUUAUACCGGCAUAUUAUUUCAAUAUCAUGCUGAGAGUAAGGAACCAAAGGGCAUCUAAGGCGAGAAGCCCAUACGCAGCCGUGCCAAAUGGAGCAAAUACAGUUGCCUCGAAUAGUGUAUUGGCACGAGGUCGUCGCGGAAAUCGUCGAGGAGGUCAAGUGAGACAGCCCGUUGCAAACAGCUCCAAUAUUAAUGCUCCUCCGACACAAGCGACUCCUCCAACACCUGCGGCUCCGACGACACCAGCGACACAGUCGUCAACUGAAGCAGGCCAGGGAAUGUCACGGAGCGGGAUGAUUGGGAUGAUUCCUCACAACAUGCCGCCCAUAGUUAACCCCACCCCUGACGCACCAAGUGCCUUGUCGUCACAUGUUCCCACCAACAUGAAUCAAGCGUCAUGGCCAUGAAGAAUAGAAGAAAGAUGUGCUGGAAAGUGAAUAUGGACAAGGAAUGGUUUUGCAGGUCAUCUGUAUUCAAGAACUCGGCAACAAAGUGCAUAAUUUUGAUUAGAAUACUGUCUCCGUGGGGCACUGUUUUUUCCAGGCUCCUCGGGUCAAGAGAGUAUUUCUAAUAUUGUAUAUUACAUAUAUAUAUUUGAUAUAUGCUGCCAUAUUGUUUGAACGGCGCAUGUCGAGUUCAAUGUACAUGUAUGAAAUCUAUCUGAUGUACAUGUACUAUAUAUCUGACUGAUAUCUAUCUGAUAUUCAUGUACUUAUCUAAUUUUUGCACAUUUGAUUAAACGGCCAUGACAACUACGCCAAAC